AAAUAAAAAUGAAACAAAAAUUAAAUAUGAGACUAAUAAAUAAAUAAACAACUAAAAUAAAAAAUGCAAAUAAAACAAACAUAAGACAUAUAUAGAUAAAAGUAAAAUUUUUGUAGAAGUAAAAAAUAAAAUAAAAAUGAAACAAAAAUUAAAUAUGAGACUAAUAAAUAAAUAAACAACUAAAAUAAAAAAUGCAAAUAAAACAAACAUAAGACAUAUAUAGAUAAAAGUAGAAACAUCGAUGUAUAGAUGUAGUUUAUAUAAUAUUCCAAAUGCGAUAAUAUAAGAUGGGUUAUGUAAAUACGAGAAAAAUAAAAUAAAAGAAAGAUAAAAUAAGAUGUAAUGGUGAGAUCAUAUAGUGGGGAUGUCAUCUUCUUGAGUGGAUCCACUGAGCGUGGC
rnacentral:lncRNA from 1 species